rnacentral:misc_RNA from 1 species
CGCACCUUGCACCUUUUGGCAUUCCGAAAGGUACAUCUGUUUGAGUGUCAUGAAUACCUCAACCUCUACAUUUUCUUGUAAAAUGUAGCAGCGUCGGAUGCUGAGCGUUGCUGUCGCAUACUGCACAGCUCGCUUUAAAUGUAUAAGCAAUCUUUGUACAGCUCGGAUUGACUUGACGUGAUAAGAUCUUCGUCGAGGAUGCUUUCAAUAGCAGCCGGAUUGUACACUAGUCGCUUCUAAAUCGAGUCGCCUUGUGCGAUGCUCUUCUAAUUUAGACCUCAAAUCAGAUGGGACUACCCGCUGAACUUAA